AUGAUAGGAGAAAAAGCUGGCUUUGCAGGUGACGAUGCUCCCGGGCCAUCUUCCCCUCUAUCAUGGGUAGCCCCAGACCCCAGGGCAUGAUGGUGGGCAUGGGUCAGAAGGACUCCUUUGUGGGCGAUGAGGCCCAGAGCAAGAGAAGCAUCCUGACCCUGAAGUACUCGGUGCAGCACAGUAUCAACUGGGAUGACAUGGAUAAGAUCUGGCACCACACCUUCUACAACAAGCUGCCUAUGGCUCCUGAGGACCACCCCAUGCUGCUGACCUAGGCCCCACUGAACCCCAAGGCCAAUCAUGAGAAGAUGACCCAGAUCUUGUUCGAGACCUUCAGCAACACCCCAGCCAUAUACGUGGCCAUCCAGCCUGUGGUGCUGUCCCUGUAUGCCUCUGACAUUACCACUGGCAUUGUGAUGGACUCUGGUGAUGGGGUCACCCACACUGCCCAUCUAUGAGUGGUAUGCUCUCCCCCACGCCAUCCUGCGUCUGGACCUGGCUGGUCUGGACCUGACUGACUACUUCAUGAAGAUCCUCACCGAGCAGGAGCUACAGCUUCACCACCACGGCCGAGCAGGAAAUCAUGCAUGACAUCAAGGAGAAGUUGUGCUACAUCACCCUGGACUUCAAGCAGGAGAUGGCCACGGUGGCCUCCGGCUCCUCCCUGGAGAAGAGCUACGAGCUGCCUGAACUUCCAAUGGCCAGGUCAUCACCGUCAGCAACGAAGGGUUCCAUACUCCCCAGGCAUUCUUCCACCCUUCCUUCCUGGGCAUGGAAUCCUGUGGCAUCCUACUGUCAAUUCCAUCAUGAAGUGUGACAUGGACAUCCGCAAAGAGCUCCAUGCCAACACAGGGCUGUCUGGUGGCACCACCAUGUACCCUGGUGUGGCAGGAUGGGGUGCAGAAGGAGAUCAUCGCCCUGAUGUUGAUCAGUGACUCCAUCCUGGCUUCCAGCUUCCAGCAGAUGUGGAUCAGCAAGGAAUGCGACAAGCCCGACCCCUUCUUCAUCCGCAGCAAAUGCUUCUAG